UGGGGAAUAUUGGACAAUGGGCGCAAGCCUGAUCCAGCAAUGCCGCGUGUGUGAAGAAGGCCUGCGGGUUGUAAAGCACUUUCAGUAAGGAAGAAAAGCUCAUGGUUAAUACCCGUGAGUCUUGACGUUACUUACACAAUAAGCACCGGCUAAUUCCGUGCCAGCAGCCGCGGUAAUACGGAAGGAGCAAGCGUUAAUCGGAAUCACUGGGCGUAAAGCGCACGUAGGCGGUUGCGUAAGUCGGAUGUGAAAGCCCCGGGCUUAACCUGGGAAUGGCAUUCGAUACUGCGCGACUGGAGUAUGGGAGAGGGUAGCGGAAUUCCGGGUUUAGCGGUGAAAUGCGUAGAUAUCCGGAGGAACAUCAGUGGCGAAGGCGGCUACCUGGGCCAAUACUGACGCUGAGGUGCGAAAGCGUGGGGAGCAAACAGGAUUAGAUACCCCCGUAGUCC
rnacentral:rRNA from 1 species